UGGGACCCGUUGGGUCCCUGCUACACACGGGAGGGCCGGCCCUCCAAAGCAAAAUUCCACCUCUCCACCAAUUCCAAUA